rnacentral:rRNA from 1 species
AUUGAACGCUGGCGGCAGGCCUAACGCAUGCAAGUCGAGCGGAUGAAGGGAGCUUGCUCCUGGAUUCAGCGGCGGACGGGUGAGUAAUGCCUAGGAAUCUGCCUGGUAGUGGGGGAUAACGUCCGGAAACGGGCGCUAAUACCGCAUACGUCCUGAGGGAGAAAGUGGGGGAUCUUCGGACCUCACGCUAUCAGAUGAGCCUAGGUCGGAUUAGCUAGUUGGUGGGGUAAAGGCCUACCAAGGCGACGAUCCGUAACUGGUCUGAGAGGAUGAUCAGUCACACUGGAACUGAGACACGGUCCAGACUCCUACGGGAGGCAGCAGUGGGGAAUAUUGGACAAAGGGCGAAAGCCUGAUCCAGCCGUGCCGCGUGUGUGAAGAAGGUCUUCGGAUUGUAAAGCACUUUAAGUUGGGAGGAAGGGCAGUAAGUUAAUACCUUGCUGUUUUGACGUUACCAACAGAAUAAGCACCGGCUAACUUCGUG